rfam:Oryza sativa Japonica Group DNA, chromosome 3, cultivar: Nipponbare, complete sequence.
AAAAAGACAAACUCUGGUUUCCGUGUCCAACGUUUGACUGUCCAUCUUAUAUGAAAUUUUUUAUAAUUAGUAUUUUUAUUGUUGUUAGAUGAUAAAACAUGAUUAAUACUUUAUGCGUGAGUUGUCUUUUUAAUUUUUUUCAUAUUUUUUUAAAUAAUACGGACGGUCAAACGUUGGAUAUGGAAACUCAGGGUU